GAGAAUUCCCUGACCCCCAUCGCAGAAUGUGCAACAGGGGUGUGGCUCAUCUGUUUGGCCGCCACUUGCUCAGACCCCUUACAGGAGGGGAACAGGCAGAUGGGCAGAUACGGGAGCUGGGAAGAGCACUUUUGGGCUCCAUCCCCACAGUAGCAACUAGAGGGGCCCAUUGAAAGGACCUCAGAGACUGCUGGAUGUCUGUGGACCCCACAUUGACAACUGAGAAUUGCUCCAGUAUACUUC
rnacentral:lncRNA from 1 species